GGUGCCGUAGCCUUGUGGUUAAGGCGAUGGACUAGAAAUCUUUUGGGAUAUUUCCGCGCAGGUUCGAAUCCUGCCGACGACG
rnacentral:tRNA from 1 species